UUUCUUCAGCAGUACAGAUACUAAAAUUGGAAUGAUGCAGGGUUAGCAAGGCCCCUGAGAAAAGCUAACACAUAAGGUUUUGAAACAGUCCACAUUUAA
rnacentral:snRNA from 1 species